UUGGUCUUUUUAUUUUUUAUUUUUUUUUUUUCGUUGCAAAGAUGGGUUAAAAGAGAAGGGCUUUCACAAAGCUUCCCGAGCGUGAAAGGAUUUGCCCGGACAGUUUGCUUCAUGGAGCAGUUUUUUCCGCACCAUCAGAGCGGCAAACAUGAGUGCUUGUAUAAGUUUAGAGAAUUGAGAAAAGCUCAUUUCCUAUAGUUAAUAGGACAUGCCUUUGAUAUGAAAAAAAUACUACGAACUACGAUUUUACCAAGAAAGAUGUAAGAGACAAGUGAACAGUGAACAGUGAUAGUGGGGACAUUUUUUUUUUUUAAGUAAAUGGCAGUUUCUAGGGAAUGAUGAUGGCAAGUUCCAGAGAGGCAGCGUAAAAGGAUGAGGCUACUGGGAAGAAGAAAGAGGAAAAGUGCAAGAUGAAUAGCCAGUGCAAUAUAUACAUGUAUACUUAACAGAUAUGGAAUGGUUGGCGAAGUAAAUUUUUGGCGACGCGGUAUGCGGAGUUGUAAGAUGUACUACGAUCAUAUAGUGUAAUGCGGCAAAAUGUUAGUGCAGGAAAGCGGGAAGGAAUAAGAAGCAACUAAACGAGGGUGUAGAAAAAGACGAAGAGGGAAAUGGAGGGAAGAGAACAAAACCGGAGUGUUUUUUUUGUAGGAAUAUCGGAGGAGAAUAUUGUUUGUACAUAUCAAGUAGUAGCAACCCAAUGAGCAUAAUGGAGUGCUUAACUCUUCAGAAGAAGAGUGCAGCUGGAUAGUGCGAAUUUUUCUGAAUCGAAUGGUAGGUUAGUUAUGGGAUUUAGCAUAGGAAGCCAAGAAACUAGAAAAAAAAAAAAAAAAAAAGAAAUAAA
rnacentral:rRNA from 1 species